rnacentral:rRNA from 1 species
GUGGCGGACGGGUGAGUAACGCGUGGGCAACCUGCCCCAAAGCUCGGGAUAACACUCCGAAAGGAGUGCUAAUACCGGAUGUAGUUGCGCUGCUGCAUGGCAGUGCAAAAAAAGGAGCAAUCCACUUUGGGAUGGGCCCGCGUCCCAUUAGCUAGUUGGUGAGGUAACGGCUCACCAAGGCGACGAUGGGUAGCUGGUCUGAGAGGACGAUCAGCCACACUGGAACUGAGACACGGUCCAGACUCCUACGGGAGGCAGCAGUGGGGAAUCUUGCGCAAUGGGCGGAAGCCUGACGCAGCAACGCCGCGUGAAUGAUGAAGGCCUUCGGGUUGUAAAGUUCUGUCAGGGGGGACGAUAAUGACGGUACCCCCGGAGGAAGCCCCGGCUAAUCACGUGCCAGCAGCCGCGGUGAUACGUGAGAGGCGAGCGUUAUCCGGAUUUACUGGGCGUAAAGGGCGUGUAGGCGGUUGGGCAAGUCCUUUGUGAAAUCUCCCGGCUUAACCGGGAGGGGUCAAAGGAAACUACCCAACUUGAGGGUAGCAGGGGGAGAUGGAAUUCUCGGUGGAGCGGUGAAAUGCGUAGAUAUCGAGAGGAACACCAGUGGCGAAGGCGAUCUCCUGGGCUAUACCUGACGCUGAGGCGCGAAAGCGUGGGGAGCAAACAGGAUUAGAUACCCUGGUAGUCCACGCCGCAACCGAUGGACACUAGGUAUGGGGGGUAUCGACCCUCUCCGUGCCGAAGCUAACGCGUUAAGUGUCCCGCCUGGGGAUUACGGCCGCAAGGCUA